rnacentral:rRNA from 1 species
UUGAACGCUGGCGGCAGGCCUAACACAUGCAAGUCGAACGGUAACAGGAAACAGCUUGCUGUUUCGCUGACGAGUGGCGGACGGGUGAGUAAUGUCUGGGAAACUGCCUGAUGGAGGGGGAUAACUACUGGAAACGGUAGCUAAUACCGCAUAACGUCGCAAGACCAAAGAGGGGGACCUUCGGGCCUCUUGCCAUCGGAUGUGCCCAGAUGGGAUUAGCUUGUUGGUGGGGUAACGGCUCACCAAGGCGACGAUCCCUAGCUGGUCUGAGAGGAUGACCAGCCACACUGGAACUGAGACACGGUCCAGACUCCUACGGGAGGCAGCAGUGGGGAAUAUUGCACAAUGGGCGCAAGCCUGAUGCAGCCAUGCCGCGUGUAUGAAGAAGGCCUUCGGGUUGUAAAGUACUUUCAGCGGGGAGGAAGGGAGUAAAGUUAAUACCUUUGCUCAUUGACGUUACCCGCAGAAGAAGCACCGGCUAACUCCGUGCCAGCAGCCGCGGUAAUACGGAGGGUGCAAGCGUUAAUCGGAAUUACUGGGCGUAAAGCGCACGCAGGCGGUUUGUUAAGUCAGAUGUGAAAUCCCCGGGCUCAACCUGGGAACUGCAUCUGAUACUGGCAAGCUUGAGUCUCGUAGAGGGGGGUAGAAUUCCAGGUGUAGCGGUGAAAUGCGUAGAGAUCUGGAGGAAUACCGGUGGCGAAGGCGGCCCCCUGGACGAAGACUGACGCUCAGGUGCGAAAGCGUGGGGAGCAAACAGGAUUAGAUACCCUGGUAGUCCACGCCGUAAACGAUGUCGACUUGGAGGUUGUGCCCUUGAGGCGUGGCUUCCGGAGCUAACGCGUUAAGUCGACCGCCUGGGGAGUACGGCCGCAAGGUUAAAACUCAAAUGAAUUGACGGGGGCCCGCACAAGCGGUGGAGCAUGUGGUUUAAUUCGAUGCAACGCGAAGAACCUUACCUGGUCUUGACAUCCACGGAAGUUUUCAGAGAUGAGAAUGUGCCUUCGGGAACCGUGAGACAGGUGCUGCAUGGCUGUCGUCAGCUCGUGUUGUGAAAUGUUGGGUUAAGUCCCGCAACGAGCGCAACCCUUAUCCUUUGUUGCCAGCGCGUAAUGGCGGGAACUCAAAGGAGACUGCCGGUGAUAAACCGGAGGAAGGUGGGGAUGACGUCAAGUCAUCAUGGCCCUUACGAGUAGGGCUACACACGUGCUACAAUGGCGCAUACAAAGAGAAGCGACCUCGCGAGAGCAAGCGGACCUCAUAAAGUGCGUCGUAGUCCGGAUUGGAGUCUGCAACUCGACUCCAUGAAGUCGGAAUCGCUAGUAAUCGUGGAUCAGAAUGCCACGGUGAAUACGUUCCCGGGCCUUGUACACACCGCCCGUCACACCAUGGGAGUGGGUUGCAAAAGAAGUAGGUAGCUUAACCUUCGGGAGGGCGCUUACCACUUUGUGAUUCAUGACUGGGGUG